CCUUGCAACAAGACAUGGAAUGCUGGCCCCACUGUGUCCCAGACCCUGUGAGACCCUGGGCCUCCCCUUCCUUGUCUGGGACGUGGUAAGGAGGGAGAACUUAGAUUACAUGGCUCUUCAGCUGGAUCUUGCAUCCUACAACUCCCUCAAUCUCAAGCCAGGACUCCUCUUCUGCAGCCACCGCUGGCCAUCCUCUCAGGAGGUCUGAGGUUCCUCCCGGCAUGUGUCGCGGCUUUUUGGUGUUUCUCUUAAAGCACCAAGCACAGGGGGGCUGUGACUCCUUGAGGCCCUCCACCCCUGAGGCCCUGCUGGCUUCCACUGGGGCCUCUGUUUCCCCGUAGAGGCCUGGCUCUCUGACAGCGAACAGACACGUGAGGAAUGUCUCCAUCCAGCGUAGUUAACUACUCCUCACGGCAGCCUCCACUGCCACCCAGCUUCUCCUGGCGGGGCUCCAGGACAAGCUUUUCUCCAGGUACAGUGUAACCCGACCCCAUCCAGAACUGAAACGUCUUUGAAUUGUGGUUGGAACAUCAACAUCUGGACGAGACUCUAACGGAUCCUGUGAUAAAUCAGCAGCUGCUGUGGGCAAAAGGUCACUCUAAUUCCAGAUUCUCUGCCUGGAAAACACCAAGACAUAAAAUCACCACACAGACUGUGUAAAAGCCACGAGGGGCUCGUGUGGGAGAGAGUGUGGAGGUUUCUAGGAAGAUCAGAGCCAGAUUUGCAGCACACCUGCAGCAAACCCACAAGAUCGCAUGGAUUUCACGUUCUAGAUCGACCAUUUUAGGGGAACCCACGCUUUGCUUCUCAAUUCAGAAGGUCAUCUUAGUCCCAGGAGGUCAGAAGCUAUGAGGAUAUACCCUCUCCAGCAUCCAAAGCCCCUUAUCAAUCCAGUCUUCUGUACCCACCAGGGCGCCCUGCGACCCAGGCUCGCUCCUUCCUGCUUCCUGUGCACACGCUUAUGCUGGAUCGGCAGAUCGUCACACUUGUCCAAAUGGCUGCAACUUUGCAAACAGGGCAGAAGAAAAUCAGACGCUGUCUUUGCCCACAUUAACAGAGGAGGAACUGGCCUCUCAUCGCUGUCAUCUGUGAGGAGAGAGAAGGGAAAGGACACGGGCGAGUCUGUACAGUGGAGAGGUCCGUUUCUACGAGACUGAUUUAGGAAGCACAAAGACUCGGAGUUUCAGAUUUCCCAGGCCACUUUCUAUUCUGUUUCCGACCCCCCUCCCCCGCCCCCCGUCUGGAAAAAGACCAAAGAGAGCCCGGGAGACCUUUUCCAAGGCGGAAUCAUAAUCCUUAUUAAGUGUUCAUGUCAUGUUUUUGCAGGAGCCAUUUUUGAGAUUGUCUAAAAGAAACUGAGCUCUGCUUAAUGAAAAUGGUGUGAGAAGAUGGGCAACAUUUAAGUAAGCCCUCAGUUACAGUAUUUGUCAUUGCACCUUAAAGCUGGAGUUAAGGGACUUCAGGAAAGUGCACUUGCAGGGGGUCAGGAAGAACUGUUGCUCCCUCCUCCCCUGCAGCACGCGGCUCCGCCCUUUCCUGCAGGGCACGGCACUCUCCUCUAGGCAAGAGGGCUUGGAGGGCAGGGCACGGGUCUUAAUCACCUUCGCCCAGUGAAUGUCUGGCACAUAGCUGAAAAUCAGUAACUGUUUGCUUUAGGAAGUGACAAGGGAGAGAAAACAAGAGCGCAGGAAAAGAAACGAGAGAACCACAAAAUUCUUCCAAUCAUAAAAAUGUUUGCUUCAGAUAUAAUCAGAAAGUAAACGCUAAUUUUGCAUGUAUGCUAAGGAAAAACUUAAAGCUUUUAAAUCUGAAAGCUGAUUAAGUCAGCAUCACCUCAUACAACUAUUUAAGCUACACAGACCUCGCCAGAGUCAGAGCCACAACAACUUGUAGCAGAGUGCAAACAGCGGUUCCGCCGAGGUGAAGAGAAAGUCAGCUUCUCAAAUUCAAAGCAUGCUCAGGCCAAGCCUGUCGCCCUGGGUGACUAAUUUGCUAUAUUGAAUCAAAUCAUCCCGUUGGCAGAGCCAAGAUAAAAAUACUGAUGGCAGAAUUCAGCAAACCAGAUGUCUGCUAGAUCUCAUUCUGCUAAAGCCGGAGAAAGCCUCAGAUAAAUUUUUGAUUUGUCUUGCUGAUAAUUUCAAUUUUUUCCUAGUGUAUGGGAAUCCAUGAAGGGACUGAGUCCAAAGUUUCAUUCUGACCAACCAAAGAUAAUGGGUUUAUGUUGAUUAGAAUCUGUUCGGGCACAGGACCUUGAUAUCUGUGGACUGUCUGAGAAAAUACAUUGGCUCACAUAAAUGGAAGACAAAUGGUAGGACAGAUUUCCAAGUUGGUUCAUCCAAUGGCUCAGUGUUGUCAGCAACAAUCCUGGGCAUUCCCUUCCCCUGAAUUACCGGCCUUGGCAGUUUGAUCUGAACUCUAGCUUCUUCCACGGCAAUGAAAUGGCUGCUGGUAGCGGUUGGGUCUGCUUUCCUUUCCAUAUCCAGUGGCAGAGGGAAGGAAAGACCUCCACUGGCUUUCUUUUAAGACAAAAGAAAAAAAUUUCCUCAAAGUUGCAGCAAAGCCUUACUCAUAUUUCAUUGGCUAGAGUUAGGGACUAUUUAAAUGUCUGAACCCAUCACUGGCAAGGGGGAUGGGACUCUGUAAGACCCAUCGUGCUUGUCCUUGAGGCUGAGGGUGGAGGCUGAGUGGGGGGGAGGACCUCAACCUAGUGAUGCUAUUUUUAGGAAUAAAGAAAAGAGAGUGCGGGAAGUGGAUGCUGAGAUGGCUAACAAGAGUGUCCAUCAAAGACAGAGCUGUGUCAAACACACAUUUUGAUAAAAUGCCACAUGCUCAGGAGUUAAAAUAAAAAUCUGGUGAAAAUCAAGGCUUAAGUCAAAAUGUUGCCAUCAUAAAACUGACUU